rnacentral:lncRNA from 1 species
AUACCAAUUGAACUGAGCCUUGUAGAAACACCAUCACCUACACAUACCUCUGCUUCUUUUCAUUAACCUGUUAUCCUCUUUACAAAUGGUAUUCUUCACCCACUCCCUUCUUCCAGAUUAGCAAUGCCCUGUUAAGUAAACGAACAUGAAAUUCAAAGGGAAACAGGAACAAUAAUCAUUACCAGCUGCCGUGUUAAGCAUUGUGAAAACGCUCACGAUUCACAGAAAAAUCCAUGCUGUUCUUUGAAGGCAUUCAAGCCUUAAUAGCUAGCUGGAUGAAUGUUUAACUUCUAGGCCAGGCACUACUCUGUCCCAACAAUAAGCCCUGUACAUUGGGAAAGGUGCCGAAGACAUGAACUUUGGUCUUCUCUGCAAUCCCUCUGGAGCAUUCAGUGACAACGUCGACUUUGAAGUUGCACUGACCUGGCCAGCCCUGCCACUUACCAGGUUGGGCUGUGGCUUGCCUUUUCACUUCUUGUGUCCUGUUUAAGAAAUAUCUGCUAUCCCAAGGCUCUUGAGUUUCUGCUUUCAAGUGACCCUCAGAAAUGCCCCCAUUCACUGCAGAGGUUCUGUUUCUCCUUGUUUUGUUCCGACUUUAUGGCAGAACUAGGUUAAUGAGUUAAUUACUAUGAGUUAUCACUUGGAUUUGAAGAACCAUCAUUUCUAGGCUUUGCUGCUCAGAGUGGGUUUGCCCUCAGGGGAAGCUAUCUAACCAGAGCCUAACCCACUAGGGUUUUAUCAGAACCUAACUGGCCUGAGGAAAAGAAAUAUUCAACUCCAGCAAGCUCCAGCCUUCCAAACGGAGGAGGAGAAAACCCAAAUCCAGCCCACUUCAGCUAUCUUGUCCCACAUAAAGGGGGAGUGGAAGAAACGUGAGAAGCAGGCAUGAAGUUCACAGUCCGGAGGUACAGACACAUCAGAGUUCAGUAUCUGAUGAAUUAGAUGCAAAAUCCUCAACAAAGUAUUAGCAAAUUGAAUUCAACAAUGUAUGAAAAUUAUUACAUGCCAUGACUAAUUGGAAUUUAUCUCAGGUAUACAAGCCAUGCUGAACAUCUGAAAAUCAAUUCAUGUGAUCCAUCACAUUAGCAGAUUCAAGAAAAAAAAAACCACAUUAUCAUAUCAGUAGAUGUAGAAAAAAAAAAUUAACAAAAUCCAGCACGCAUUCACAAUGAAAAUGCUCAGUAAAUUAGAAAUAGAAGGUAACUUCCUCAACUUGACAAGGAAUAUCUCUAAAAACCUACAACUAAAAUCAUACUUAAUGGUAAAAAACUAGAAGCCUUCCCAGUAAGAGUAAGAACAAGGCAAAGAUGUAUGCUCUCACCACUCCUUUUCAACAUCAUAUUGGAAGUCCUAGCUAGUGCAAUAAGCAAAAAAAAAAAAAAAAGUUAUAUUAAUAAGAAAAAAAACCGUGUUUGUUUGCAGAUGACAUGAUUGUCUAUGCAAAAAA